rnacentral:rRNA from 1 species
UAAGACGAACCGAGCGAACGUUGUUCGGAAUCACUGGGCUUAAAGGGCGCGUAGGCGGGCUGCCGCGUCCGGGGUGAAAUCCCACGGCUCAACCGUGGAACGGCCCCGGGUACGGGCGGCCUCGAGGGGGGUAGGGGCGUGCGGAACUGUGGGUGGAGCGGUGAAAUGCGUUGAGAUCCACAGGAACUCCGGUGGCGAAGGCGGCACGCUGGACCCUCUCUGACGCUGAGGCGCGAAAGCCAGGGGAGCGAACGGGAUUAGAUACCCCGGUAGUCCUGGCCCUAAACGAUGAGAACUGGGUAGUAGCCCUGGCAUGGGGUUACUGCCGCAGCCAAAGUGCUAAGUUCUCCGCCUGGGGAGUAUGGUCGCAAGGCUG